AACGAACGCUGGCGGCAUGCCUAACACAUGCAAGUCGAACGAAAACUUCGGGUCUUUUGGCGCACGGCGGCGUAAGGCGUGGGAACCUGCACUUAGGUUCGGCAUACCUCCCCGAAAGGGAUGCUAAUACCGGAUAGUGUCUUCGGACCAAAGAUGUAUCGCCUUUGGUUGGGCCCUGGUUGGAUUCGCUAGUUGGUAGGGUAAUAGCCUACCAAGGCGAGGAUGCAUAGCUGGUCUGAGAGGAUGAUAAGCCACACUUGGACUAAGACACGGCCUAGACUCGUACGCAAGGGAGGAGAGGGUAACAUAGGACGAUGGGCGAAAGCCUGAUCCAGCAAUGCCGGGGAAGUGAUGAUGGCGGUAGGGAUGUAAAGUUCUUUUACCCGGGAUGAUAAUGACAGUACCGGGUGAAUAAGCUCCGGCUAACUCCGUG
rnacentral:rRNA from 1 species